rnacentral:lncRNA from 1 species
AAACAUAUAAUUCUUAGAACAAUUAUUCGAGCAAUAUUAAACAAGAAUAAUCAUGGAACUUCAUACAUAAACAUUACCUAACAUGAUUCGGCAUAAGAAAUAUUGCUGUACUUAAUCCAAACAAAACAGACAAUUAAUUAAGUACAAGUUUUCUUAAUACCCAAGACAACUCCAAACUUGUGAGGGAGUUUGGAGGUCCUAAAGCAUAUUCGGACACCACUAUGUCAUGAUGUUUUCUCGCUCACCUGCGUGUGUCGUGCAGAUUGUUUCCUCGAUUCCAGGUAAGCUUAAUUCGUCGGGUCUCUUCUCGAACUCUUCAUCACGCCAAAAUCAAAAUAUUAAUUCGUCGGGUCUCUUCUCGAACUCUUCAUCACACCAAAAUCAAAAUAACGCUAAUUAGGUCACUUCUGAUCUAAAAUGAACUUAAUCGCUUUCAUCCAUUCGAUUCAAUGUUAGGUAUUUCUUGAAUCAUCAUUUAUCAUUGAAAGUCUUACAACACAAUAACACUUUCUAAAGUAAAGUUUUAAUAAAACUUAUAGCGGAAUUAUGUCAUAAUCUAUGGAUAUACACCAGGUUAGUGUAAGAAUGAGGUUGCAACUAAGAGGGGUGGGGGGUGAAUUAGUUGACCUAAAAAUUAUGACCAUUUUUUCUGCAAAAUCAAGAGUUAACGUGCAACAGAAAAUAUAUGCAGAAAAAUAAUCAAGAUAAAAUGAAAGAGAUAAGGGAGAAGAAAAUACACAAUGAUUUUUAUAUUGGUUCACCUUCUAGUCCACUGAAGGCUACGUCUAGUACUCUUGUGGCACAAGAGAUUUCUUCACUAAGAAUUAUGAGUUGUAAUUACAGUAUCUCACCCCGAGAUUUCUAUGUACCUUACACACUCCCUAAUCCUUAUUCACUCUUGGAAAACACCUUUCCAAGUGAUUCUAAUCCCCUUUCUUUUCACACCCCGUGAAAGAAAGUCUUCUGCAACAAUAUUGAAGAAUGUACAAUAAUGGCAAAUUGCCUUUACAAGUAUGAAAGUAGUAUAACUUGCAAUCCAAUCAACUCUUUAUGUAUACCAAGUAAUAAUGCUCUUUGCAAAAAGUGUAGAGAAAUAACUUCAUAAUAAGUUUAAGAGCUUUUGGAAAUUGUAUAAGAGUUGUGCAUUGUUGUGUGUUUGUGUUGUGAGAGUUAGAGCCUUUAUAUUUUCUUCCAAACACCCAUGGUGCCUUUUUAAAAGUGUAGGAGUUGUUUGAAGUGAAGAGAUUUCGUUUGGAGUGCGAACAUUUUAUUUUGAAAUCUGAAAUCUGAUGCAAUAGCUCUCAGUAAUCGAUUACUAACAGUGGGUAAUCGAUUAUCCAAAUUCUUUGUACACUGUUCAUUUAAAAUUAAAUUAGAGUAAUCGAUUACAGAAAUCUGGGUAAUCGGUUACUCAACUUUUCAAAACUAGUAAUCUAUUACUCAAAGACAGUAAUGGAUUACUCUGAACAGUUUUAAGUUGGAUAACUCUUUUCUCCCACACGUAAUCUGUUACUUAGAUGAAGUAACCCGUUACACACAAUUUUUGAAUUUUUUUUAAGUAUUUUAAAGUGUUUCAACUUUCUUUAAAAAUAGUUUGAGCAUUACUACUUUGUAUAUUUAAGAGUUUUAGGAUAGAAGUACCUAUAGAGACUUAAUGUAAUUAUCUUGAAGCUUUAAUCUUCUUUGUCUUAAUAAGUAUUCUUCCCUUUCUUAUUUUUAGUGAUGUUGGUGUCUUCAUCAAAACCGUGCCAAGGUCAGGAGCAAAGAUCUUCUUCACAGUUAGUUCCCAGGAAAGAGAGGUGGGUCGUAAAGACACACUUAAAUACCAAGCCUUUCUUUAGACAUAACUUUUCUAGACAUGUAUUUCCACUUCAUUACAUUUUUCUGGUAAUGAUAACUAUUCAUAAAACUUAUCUUUUGCAAGUAAAACAUUUUUAUUAAGAUUAACCUUUUUAAGUAAGAUUAUUAAGCUAGACUUACUAUUUUAAAGUAAACCAACUUAAACAAAAUUAAUACUUUUAAAUCACGACUUUUUAAGUCAAUCUUACCACUUUAAAGUAAGCUAACUUAACCAAGAUCAACACUUUUAAAUCAUUUUUCUAUCUAAGACUUCAUAACACUUUAGGUUUAUAAAGUCAAGACUUUGUAGGUCAAUCUCCUCAUUUAAAGUAUGCUACUAAAAAAAGACAACUAAUUUCAUGAUCAUCUCAACACCUUCAAAUUUUAGGAUAACCUCAAGGGUUAAUAGGUGUUGAUUUCAUAGUCAUGAACUAUAAAUCAUAAGUUAACAUUUUUACUACUUUACUAUCCAAAAUUUCAUAACACUUUCAGUUUAUGAAGUUAAGACUUUAAUAAAUCAUCUUUUAUCUCAAAUCAUUACUUUAACUUGGAAAUCAAAGAAUAACUUAUGCAAAACGACCUUUUACACAUAAUACCUUUUUUUUAAAAGAUUUUUUUCAACAAAAACUCAUACACAUUUUGAACUUUCAAGAACAGACGUAAACUUUUCUUAAACACAAUAAAGGUUUCUUUGAUGUUCAAAUCACCACCUUUAAACACAUUCAUAUACUAACAAUAAUUUCCAAUAUUUCUAAAGCAAAUAAACUCAUCCAACCUUGUCCAAAGAUAUAGUUUUUCCAUCUAAGAACAAGGAAGAAAUUUUAAGUUUUACAUAAGUCAAAAACUACACAAAGGUUCAUAUGAUUUCAUUAUCAUCUCCUUUAGUCAUGACUUACAAAAUAUUUAAAGAAAACAAACAUAAACUCAACUACAUGAAUAACAUACUAAGAGAUCAUGAUUUUCUCAUGGUGUAUGUGGAUAAAAUGGAGAAGAGAAAAAGAGAAAAAAUACCUUAAUUUUCUUUAGGAGAAUUAGUGUAAAAAUGAGAGGAUGGGGUGAGGUAUUUAUAGGAGAGCAUCAACCUCUGUCAAAUCUAAAAAUUAAUGAGAGGCAAUCUAGCUUUAGGCUAGCUUAGGUGAUGUGUCUAAUGGUGGUGGAGUGAGGAGAUUUGGUGAGUGAUUUAGGGGAUUAUGGAAGCUUUGACUUUGCUUGUUUGACAAGCAAUUGACCCAUGAUGUGAUUAAUACUCCGACUUGAUUGAUGUGACGUGAUUUUUCAAUUGAAGUCGUGCCCGUAUAUUACCGGGUAACUUCAUCCGGAAGUAUACGAUCUACCGAUUUAGGUCUUUUGCCCGAAACGUCAAAACUUGAAUUUUGACUAGAAAUAGUAUUUCAAAGCCAACGGAUAAAUAGGAAUUCGAUUCCGAGUUACAGAACUCAAACACUAGGCGAAAACUUGAUAAAACGACCCAAAAUCGUCUCAGAAACUACUAUUCUCAAAACAUCUUGAAAAAAUAGGGCAAGAAAUAAUAUUAUAAUACAAGACUAAAACUAAACUGAAGUUUAGCCUAAAACAUUGCUGAUUAAUAUCUAUAAUUAAUUCAUUAACAACUAAUUUCUUAAUUAAACGUGAUCGGAAAAACACGGUGUUACAUCUUUUCUGACUUUCCUUUGAUAGGAUUAAUGUAUAUUGUAAGACGAUCCAUCUUCAUGUGACCAGGUUUUCCAUAUUCAAAAUAAUUGAAGUUUUGUUUUGAAGUGGAAGCCUAAUUAUUUUUGUUGAAUUUUAUUACUUGCCCACCCUUUGCGCCUUUAUUUUUCUUAAGGAUGAUAUUACAAGAGGAGUCAAAGUUUUCAAGUCUGAUCUUCUACAUAGUUUUGAUGAAGACAAAGAAUUGAGGAAAUCUUGAAGAUUGAUUCAACUCAACAAAUAACAAGCCAAAGACCCAAGGUCAUAUAGAAUUAGGAAAUGUUUUAAGAUGAUUGCUUAGUUCGAGUCUAGGUUAGUUAAACCAAGGAUGAGAAUCUCACAAAGCUAAAACUAAGUAAAACUUAAAAUAAAAGAAUCCUUCAUCCAUUUAUGAUAGGUAGUAUGCAUUGAUUUUAUUGCAUAAAAGUAUCACCUAUUUUGAAAUCAUACUUUGCAUAUACAUACAUUUCAAAGAAGGUUUUACCUUGCAUCAGAAAAUCACUUUUCACACUAUUAAUCGAUUAAGCAAUAGAUAAUUGAUUAAGUAAUAUUCCAGAGACUAUUGAUCAAGUUUGAUGACCUUAGAGAAUCGAUUAAAUAUUUCAAUAAUCAAUUAAUGGUGUGUUCAAUAGAAUUGAAACUAUUUUCACAUACGUUAAUCGACUAACUGACUAGAUGAUCAAUUAAGGACAGUUAAAAUUAGUUUUAUAUAUAAGGUUGUAUUUUAACCCAUGAGUAAGAAUUAGGCAUUCAAAAUUUUACAUCAUACUCAUGUCAUACAAAAAUUCAAUGCAUUAAUUUUACAUCAUACUCAUGUCAUACUCUUGAGUGAUUUUCAAAGAGAAGAGUGAACAUGGUUCACAAAGUUUUUCAAAGAGUAUUUUUCAUUUUCAUACACAAAAACCUCAUAGUAUUUCACCAAUUUCAAUGAAUCUUUGUGAGAUUCUUGUGUAGGUUUUUUUAGUUGAUCAUUAGAGUGAUUAAUUUGUACUUAGUGAGUUUAUCACAACUAAACAUUCUUAUUAGUCAUGAGAGAGGAGAAUCACCCUAGCUACGAUUUGGAUUGAUUAGUGUUCUUCACAGCUUAUACAAGGAUCUUCAAAAGAAGCAAGAAUCAACUAUGACAGAAUCGUGAGUAGGAGGGUUUUUUUGAAAGAGGUGAGAGAGGGUCAAACUGUAUUGCUUAUCUUAGAGUUCAAGAAAGGAGCACUUGUAGAAGUGUCAAAUUGGAAGCUUGUUUGUAAUUGACAAUUAAAGUUUCAAGUGAAGAAAAAUCUCCCAAACUAGACGGGGGGACUGAAUGUAGUUUGCAAGUGGACCAACAAAUGAACUAGGAUAAAUUUCUCCACCAUUAUCUUCUCCCCCCUUAUCUCGUGUCUUUACAUUUCUUGAAUUCAUUCUAGAUUAGUUUUAUUAAUUCAUUUCUUGCUCAUUAAUUGAUAACUACGUGAAGCAUUCUAUGAACUAAUAUUUUUAUGUACAUAAUUAAUUUCCGGGAUAUGGGCUGUGAAAUAAUUGUUUUCAAGAGUAUCAUGAACUGCCAGGAUAAUCAAUUAAUAUUUUCAUUAAGCGAAUAAGACAUCAACUCCUUUAAUCGAUUAAUAAAUCUAAUAAUCGAUUAUUGUUGGUAUUUUUUAGAAAGUAAAAUUUACUGCUAAAAGUGGUAACUUUGUAGCGCGACACUUAUUCACCCUCCUCUAGGUGUGUUUAUAUGUUGAUUGUACCCAACAAAGGAACUUGCUGAACUUUUUCACCAUCAUGCUCAUCUUCCAUAUCUUCUUUUUAUGUCUCAUCUCUAGAGGAUUCAUAUGUUUCUGCCUUUGUCUUAAGAGAAAUGUUUUUACUCCUCUUUUCAUGCUUCAUUUUGAUUGAGUAGGCUUAAUUCCAACUCAUUUUCCUGCAAUUUUCUAAAAAGUGUAGCCGAAGAAAUUUUUGAUAGACUUUUUUUUUUAGAAAUGGCUGUUACUUUGGGUUGACAUGUUCUUAUUAGUGAUCUUAGAACUUUUUAAGUUUAAGUCACUAUUUCACAGCACUUUGCAAAGUGCAAUCAAGUGGUUUGUAAGGUGAGUAAAUCUCUUUUGGAGAUCAAGUAUCUUUUCUCUUGGUUUCAUGUGUGAUCUCUAGAGUGUCUCACAUCUCCUUUUCAGAUUUGCAAUUUAAUACUCUAUAAAAUUCAAUUAUUUCUAGGGCUGAAGAGAUGAUGUUUUUGGCCUUAAGGUCAUAAUGUACUUUCUUUUUAUCCUCGUCAUUCUAGGUGGAUUUUAGUUUAAUCUCGCUUAUACCAUUUAUUACAAUAAGGUUUCAUAAGGCCCUUCCUCAAUCACAUUACAUAUGUCAAGGUCUUGAGAUUCUAUGAAGAUUUUCAUCCUUAUUUUCUAAAAAUCGUAACAUUCUCCAAAAAAAGCUUGGAGGACGAUUGAUAUUGGAACCUUCUCCCAUAAAGGAUCUAGAAGUCAUCUAAAUUUUUUGAAUCUUUGGGAGUAACUUACCCAAGCUAAGUUAUGGUGUCAAUUAUAAGUAUUAGAUGACAACAAAGGGGGAGGUGAAUUAGUUUUAUGACCAAUUUUUCAGCUAUAAAAUCAGAAUAUGUUGCUGCAAAAAAUGAUGCAUAAAAAAUGCCAAGUUAAAAUAGUAAAAUUAAGAGAGUAAAGAGAACAGAGGAAGUACGCAGAUAUUUUAUAUAGGUUCACCUUCUUAUCCAUCAAAGGCUUUGUCUAGUAUUCUUGUAGCACAAGAGAUUUCUUUACUUUGAUAUUACGAGUAACAAUUAUAAUUUCUAUCCUUAGGACUUCUUGUACAUUACUCACUCACUAGUACCUAGCACUCUUGGACAACAACCUUUCCAAGUUCACUCUUCCCCUUAUCACCACACCCUUGUGAUGAAAAGCUUGACAAUAAAGUUUGAAGGAAAACUUUCUAUGAUAAGAAUUGCCUUACAAGAUAUAAAAUUUCUAUAACUUGCAAUCCUAUUUGCUCUUAAUUCACUUUGUAUAAAAUGCUCAUACAGUUUUUAAGUUAGGAAAACCUUAGAAUCAACACUAAAUGCAACUUUAGAAAAUUUCUGUAAGUUUGGAACAAAAGUUGCAAGAAAAGUGCAAAGAAUUGUAUAUGAAAGUUAUGUGAAUUGUGUGUUAAAGAUGUGUCACAAAAUGGGUGUUCCAAGACCCUUAAAUAGGCUUUUAACCAACCAAUAUACCCUUAAACGAAGGUAGGACGCCAUAGGAAUGAUUCUCAUUCAGUUUAGAUUUGAAAAUAUAGUUUAAAAGCUCUGUAUAAUCGGUUAUUGAAGCACGUAAUCGAUUGCCCAAACAUUAUAUUUCAUUGAGUAAAUGGUUACUGCUUUUGGCAAUCACUUACACUGUGUUAAAUUUAUUGGGUAACCCAAUACUCAGUCAGGUAACCUGUUACGCAGUCCUAAUAACCUGCUACUGAUGUAAACCAAGGGGGAACUUAUGAUUUGUGGAGGACAAUCUUACAAGUAGGAGAACCACUUGGAAUCCACAUUAUUGGAAGGAAAUUAUGAUAGUUUUUAGUUAUUAUUUUAUUGCGUGAAUAAAUGAGAAUAAUUCUCAUGGGCAGUCUUAAGAUUUAUUUUAAUUUUUGUCUAAGUAUUUUAUUUAGUUUCAUUAAAAUCAUGUAAUAUGGGGGUUGAUGAUUUAUUUUAAUUCCUUCUAACAUGGUCCAAUAGUGGCAAGUGGUUAAGUCCUAGGAGGGCACGACUAGACCAUGUGGAAUCAUCAUAAUAAUUAAGCAAGGAGAUAGAAUUGAUAGGCCAAUUUUAAAUUGGCAAGGAGGGAGUCUAAUAAGGCAAGUUUCUAUCAAUCCAAUCAUCCUAGAAAUAAAUGAAGGAUUUGAAAGUAAAUGAAUAACCAUUUCAAAUUUGUUCAAGCUUAUUUCAAGAAAGACUAGUAAUCAAGUCUCAUUUAAGGUAUUCAAGUCAAUGAUCAUUCUAGAAAGGAAAGUAAUCAUGUCUCAUUCAAGGCAUUUAAGUCAAGGAUAAAAGUCCAAUCAUCUCUUUCAAGUCUGAAUUCAAACUUACGACCAAACAUGAAGAUCAAGAGAUUAACUUAACAAUUAUGAACUUUUCUUUUCAAGACCAAAUUUGUCAUAAUCCAUUCAAUCAAGCAAGAGAUAAGGCACAAUCAAUUUGUUAAUUUCAAAUAGUCACAUGACUGAAUGCAUCAAUGGAAUUUCGGCAAACACAUGGACAAAUCAAAUCAGCCAUUAAACUCCAACUAAAAACCAUUUAAUUAUAUGUUUUAAUUAUGAUUUCAAAUUUCAAAUUAAGUAUAGUCAAUUCAGGAUUUCCCUAUUUAUGUAUUCCUUUCAUGAUGAAUGAAUUAAGUUGAAUUUUGUUUGGAUUAAUUCCUUUUUAGUUGAGUUUUGCUCCUAACUUAGAACUUAUCAAGAUUAGUUCUUGUGGCGUUCAUAGGCUUAUCACCAUUGGUGUGGUGACUUAACCUUUUUCAUAUCAAGGAUCAUUCCUUGAGGCGAACCUCCUUUUCUUAUCAAGCUACUUUGCUUGUGGCGCCUCCAUCUUCAUCAUUUACUACUUUCUUUAAUCCAACACAAACACAUAAAAUUUCAUAAACCAAAAAUAAACACCAGUUCGCCCAAAUACUAAUUCUAUACACAUUUCACCUAUAAUCAUACUCAAAACAUGGACAUUAAUAUAAAAGUGUUAUUCCGUGAGUCAAAUUAAGUUUCAGGUAAGAACAAUCGACACAGAAAACAAACCACCCCUAGAGGUUUGCAUCAAGUGGUAUCAGAGCCACUUCUUGCUUGCAGGUCUGAGUCAUGUCACGUGGUAAAUCUUUCUUGGUGAGGAAACUUUUGGAAAAUCAUGUUAUGGAAGAUGAGGCCAACCAAAGGGACAACAUCUUUCAUUCUUGAUGUUUGGUCCAAGGUAGAGUAUGAAAGUGCAAAGUGUCAAGAUAUCACUUAGCUUGCCUAUGUUUUGAUGAAGACAAAGGAAUUAGUGAAAGCUUAAAGAUAACUCAACAAAUCAACAUGUCAAAGAAUCAAGAGCUUCAUGUCUAAACUAGAGUCUUAGAUAUGUGUCUUAGUUAUUGAGUCUAGGUUAGAUAAACCUAUAUGCAAAUCUCACAAGUUCUAAAAACUUUCAUAUCCUUUACGAGAGACAUGCCAUCUAGCUUAUUAUAUGUUCAUGCAUUAAUCAUACAUAUUAUUUGCAUAUUUUAGGCAUAACAUAAUGGUAAAAUAUGUAUAGUUGAUAAGCAUAACAUAUAGGUAGUUUACCAUUCAAUAUCUUAACUGAAAAUAUGGUAGUUAAUCGAUUAGGUAAGGCUUUAAUCGAUUAACGUGAAAACAGUUUUAAUCAGUUUCAACAUAUAACUGAAAAACAGAAUUCAGUUAUUCUAAACAGCGCGUUAAUCGUUUAACAAGGCACUUAAUCGAUUAACUAGGAAUAAAACAACUUUUCUAUAUAAAUUGUGUUUUUACACCAUGCUUCAUACAUUCAUUCGUUCAUUUUUAGAAUUGCUAAGUUGCAUAUUUUCGUGCUCAUUGUAUGUCAUAUAGGCAGAGAGAAUUGCAUGUGAGAAUAGUUAGAGAUAGUAUCAUGCUUAGGGAUUAAAAUGUCAUCCAUUGCAUGUGAUUAAAUAUGUUCAUCAUUCUAUCUUAUCUUGCAUGAUUCUUUCAUUUCUUUUCGAAAUUUCUUAGGUUAGAAAUUACACGUUCUUCAUUAUUUUGAUCUUAUACAUAUUCAUAAUAAUUUGUGAGAUUUGUAUAGGGUGUAUAGUUUGUUCUUAAUUUUAAUAUUUGAUUUAUUUUAUGCUUCACAUUACUCUGUUUUUGUUGUAUUUUUGUAACAAGGAAAGUUGUCUCUCUCAAGAUCGGAAGCAGAGGACUGAAUGCAGUUUUGCAAUGGACCGCAAAAUGAACUAGUAUAUAAACCUUGUUACAGGUUGUUUCUUACCCUUAUCUCUUUAUUGUUUUAAAUUGUUUUUAAUUGCCUAUUGUAGCUAAUAAUUUGAAUAUAAUAACUCUGUCAUAUAAAGAUCAUUUAUGUUCAAAUAUAUUUGUUAUAUCAUUUCUGUAUAAUCUGUGAUUGGUUGUGUGAUCGAGCCAUUCAGCAACUGUAUGUUAAGUGCGAUUUAAUCGAUUAAGGCAAUCCUUUAAUCGAUUAACUAGGUGAUUUUCCAGAAUAGGGCUUUGCUGCGAAUAGCGGUAUUUGGGAACCGCGACACCUAUUCACCCCCCUUUUAGGUGUAUUCUAUCACUGAUACCUAAUAAGUAGUAUCAGAGCUAGUACGUUUUGCUAGCUCAACCGUAUACGCGUGAUCCUUGAGGUAAAAUAACUAGGUUCCACCAACGCCUUUGGCGGUGAUGGUACAUCCAUUAACCGUCCUCCCGUAUUCAGUGGCGAAGAAUAUGCCUACUGGAAAGUCCGCAUGAAAAUAUUUAUAGAGGCCAUCGACUCGGAUAUUUGGGAAUCCAUAGUCAGCAGGCCCUUUGUUCCACAACAUUUAGUGGACGAUGAACCGAAAGAAAAACCGAAAAGUCUAUGGACCGAUGAUGAACGUAAAAAGGUUCAAUAUAACCUACGCGCUAAAAACAUAAUCACAUAAGCGCUAUCCUAUGAUGAGUUCUUUCUGAUUUCGCAGUGCCAAAAUGUCAAAAAAAUGUGGGACACUUUACAAGUGACUCACGAAGGCACUAGCGAAGUCAAGCGUAUCAGGCUCAAUGCCCUGACACAUGAGUAUGAGCUAUUUCGUAUGUUACCGAGUGAAUCUAUUAGUGACAUGCAAAAAUGAUUCACUCGUAUAGUUAACCAUUUAGUUGCUCUAGAUAAAUAUUUUACCAAUAGAGAACUUACUAACAAAGUUUUACACUGUCUUAACAGGAGAUGGCACCCCAAAGUAACAACUAUCAUGGAAUCCAAGGAUCUUGACUCCAUUACUUUGGUGAUAUUGUUUGGAAAGCUUCAAGAGCACAGGAUGGAGCUUGGACACCUGACUAUGCACGAAGAAUCAGAUCGCAAAAAGAAAAGUAUAUCUCUCAAAGCAACAACGUCUCAAUCCAUGGAAGAGAGAAAAGAAGACGAGUCUGAUUCAGAUAUGGAUUAUGAAACUUUGAGCCUUCUCGUACACAAAUUUGGGAAAUUCCUAAAGAAAGGAGGCUUCAAACGUUUCUAGAAGAAAGAAGCGCGCGAGUCAACCAGGAAAGGCAAGGGUAACAAAGAGCGCUUCACUUGCCAUGAAUGUGGUAAGCCAGGACACAUUAGGUUUCAAUGUCCUACUUACCUCAAGAAGGUUGAUUCAGAUAAGAGCACUCCUCGAGACUUCAAGUCAGAGAAAGCCUAUAUAGUAUGGGAUGUACCAGAGGAGGACACGACAUCGAGCACCUCAUAUGCGACACUAUAUUGUUAAAUAAUUUAAAUAUAUAGUGAGGUUAUGGUUCGAGUUGCCUCUAACUUCUUCGAAAAUGAGAAGAAGGUCUACAACCAACACCAUCUCUAAACUAUUAAUUCCAUAUAUAGAUAAAUAAUAAGCUAUUUUAUCACUAAACUUAUAUGUAUAAACAAUUAGAAACUAUUCUACCAAAUAAAGUUUAUGAGAUUUUUAUAGUGAGGUUAUGGUUCGAGUAGUCUCUAACUCCCCUAGAAAAAAGGAGAAGGUCUACGACCAACACCGUUUUUAAGCUAUUAGUCUCAUUAAAUGGAAACAAUUACAUAUUAAUCAAUUCAAUAAAUCAAUACUUUCAAACCUAUCAGUAUUUUCUAAAUCACUAACAAUUAACCAAAAUAGCUAAACAACUUUCGAACUAUAACUACGUAGUCUUGAUUUCCCUAUUACACCCGGGGAUACGUAGGAGCAAGAUAACCUCUUGUCAGAUGCAAAUAUGAAAAUAAAAAUAUUCUGUUUUACUAAUUGAAUUUUAAAUGAAUAAUUGUUAAGGGUAAAAAAAUCUGUUUUGAUUAGCGAGGGUACCGUUUUAAUACAGGCGGACAGGGUGCUAAUACCUUCCCCGAUCCGUAAUCGACUCCCGAAUUCAGAAUCUCUAUUCAAAAACCACUUUUAUCCAAAUUGGGCAUAAACGAGAGUUUCUCUACAUUUUAACCGCAAAAAAAUGUAGUGGCGACUCCAAAUCAAUUGGAAGAGGUAGAAGUCGAGUUUCCCUCUCCCUAAGUCGCAGGGCCGGUCUUCCAACCGAAAAUCGGUUCGCGACAAACCUCACCUUUACCCAUUUUGCACCUCAACUCAUCCCAUCUUUUUGUCAAAUCCACAAGAAACCCCUCCCAAUUCCAAACCCUAAGCUUUAGGUUCCCUCUCUUAUCCUUCUUCUCCUCUCAUUACUCACGGUUUUCAAUCAACAAUGGAAAGAAGACGUUCAAAAGGGAAUUGGUAAAAGGCACAAUUAAGAGGAUAUUAGCAAUGAGUCAUAGUUGUUACAAUCAGCCAAAGGGAAUUGGUAAAAGGCAAACCAAGAAUCCCCUCAACAGUUACAAUAUGAGGCAUUAUGAGAAAAGAGUGGCAAUUAAAUCAAUCAUAUGUGGGAUAAUGGGGCAGCCGUGAGUGACACAGCAAAGGCCAAUUACCAUUCCAUUUCAGUUACAAUCAUCAUUGGCAAAUAGGAAACAGCUCAACAGUUAUUACAUGCUCAUAAUCAGUCUUAAACGGCAGUUUCAAAGAGAACAAACAGAAAGCCAAAAGUUUCUGGUAGCAUUGAAUCAUGAUUGGCAACCUGAGAAUCCAUUACCAUGUAAUUUUCAAACCAUUAUAAAAGGGAGAAGCAGGUUAUAACACACACACACGUACAGAGGGAGAGCAUACUGAUAUGAGAUUACACAUACACAGUGAUAGAAAGAGAGGUGAAUACACAACCAUACAAAAACUAGAGAACAGUCCAUACACAGCUGUUAUAGAGACAUCACAUAAGUCUAAGAAUACCUACACUUGCAACACGCAUAUCAUUAUCAAAGAGUGAUAUAUCACACCCAUAAAUCAACAAUCAGACAACAGACCGCACAAUUAUCAAAAAGAGGACGCAUUCAGAACACACAUCACAACACAGAGAGGGAGGGAAUAUCCAAAAUUUGCAUAUCUUACACAACACAGAUAACAACUGAGCAAAGGCAACAUAUACAUAUUCACAGACCAUCAUAUACAUCAAGGAAGAGGCUCAAAAAAGGGUAGCAGGACCAAAACGAAAAAACAUUCUACAUUACAGGUUCAUCAUUCUCUUUAAUAGGUAUUAUUGAUUUCAUUUUGUGUAUCCCAUCCAUAUAAACCUGUAAUCAUAAGAUAAACUCAGCGCUUUGCUGAAAACUGGCUAACAUAUCAAAUUCAAACAUAAAAUACAUCCUUAUAUUCACUCGGCUUCAACAGGGAUAUAUAUCCAUAAAUAUGAAAGAGAUGAUGUAGCAUGAUAAUAUAGCUCAUUUCCGGAUAAAUGUAUGCCGAAAUUAGUUACACGUAAUCAUCCAAUUUCAUGUCAAAAGGAUUAAAUAGAAAAGGAGUAAGGUUUAUUACCGAGACCCUUUGUAUUUAUGCCGAUUCUGAAUCCCUACCUUACUUCGGUGACCACCGUGAGAACGAGAGAAUCGUAAGAGAAUGAUAAAUGAAGGAGAAGAGAAAAGGGGAUUUAGGGAUUCCAACCCCCUUUACCGUUAACAAACGAAGAAGAACUCGCGAGGAGGAGAGGAUGCAUAACCCGCCACCACCUCUUUUGGAAGCUGAAGCCGUCGCCAUUGGAGAAGGAGAAUCCACCACCAUCGCCGUCGAAGGAGUGAAGAAGAAGGGAGGCUAUGGAUUGAAAUUCCCUUUUUGUUUUUUUCUCCAAUUUAGGGUCAAGAAACCCGUAUGGUGUUAAUCCCCUCGUCCUUCCUUAUUUCAUUUUUUCUCAUACACCUUUGUUUUUUUAGUUAAUUGUUUG